AUUACAGGCCUGAGCCACUGUGCCUGGCCGCCUUUGUUCAUUUCUAUUUCAUGAGUGAUCUCCUUUUGUUGGCCAUGGCUGGAGGAGUCAGCUCCCAAAACCCACACUCUCUAGGAGUGCUGAACCAAAGAGAAUCUGUCAGGACUCCUAGGUUCCUCUCUCUCCUUCCUUCCCAGCCCUGCUUCCCCCAAAAGGAAACAUUUGACUUUUCAGGAUGAGAUGUUUGGAGCCAGUGAAUCCUCACAGGAAGCAGACCCCCAGCUGCCAUGGAGCUUAUCCUUGGGGCGCAGAGAAGCCCUGACCUCAUGCUGUAAUCAUGCACUGGAUUUUAUUUUUAAAUCUUUUUACCUCACAAGCUGACUUUAUUCUGGCUGGAGGGCUCCUGUACCUCUGUAACCUCCCCAAGAGGUCAUUUCCAGCGCUAAUCUCACUAACGAGGUGUGGGUUACGGAAAAGGCCUAUGUCCCGGUUUCUUCUAAGUGGACAUUACAGUGUUUCUUCAGAGGGUCCUGUGCUGCGACACCUCGGAAAUGGAAGAAUUUAUAGCAAGGAUGUUACUUCUCACUAAGUGAGCAGGAGAACCGGAAGAUCUCUUUAGAGAUCAUAAUAAGGAUGGGGAAACUGAGGCUCAGAGAAGGGCAGUGGCUGCCCAAGACCACAGAGCGGAGUGGCAGCAGCGUUGGGUUAGAGACUGGACCUUGUGACAGAGCCGGCCUGCUUUGGGCUGUUCCACACACCCCUGACUUUCUAGAUUGCUUCAUAUUCAUGGAAUCGUCCUCCAACUCGACUCCCCAAAAUUGUACCAUAGAUUAACUUUGGGCCCCCCCAAGUCAAAACUUCAGCAGCUCACGGACAUGGACCAUGAGGCCUGCUGAACACUCCAUCGACUGGGGCAAAGUCCUCUUUCUUUGUGAUCAGGGUGUGCACUCUCCCUUGGCCUCUGAAGCAGCAGUGCCCAGGGUUCCUCGAUGACUCAGCUGCAGCGGACUAUCCCCCCACACACGUCCGUGGCCACCCUGGCGGGAACCGGGCUCACCAUCACCAGCCACCAGAGAUGUCAAACCAUCCCCCUUCAAACCCCUCCACUCCGGCCCCCCUGCCCUGCUCCAGCCUCGGUCUGUUGUGCAAGAGCCAAAGGGGACUUACGAACACCGAGCCACACGCCCAGGCCCAACCCAGGCCCAGGAGCUCCACCCGAGGGAAACGCCUAACCCAGAACACAGCACUCCUAACUCCCCGGGCAAGGAGGGGAGACCAGGCAGCCGGAAGAAAACUCCUGGGCUUUUUAUGGAAUGCAUAAAACAAAAGGGUGCUGCUUGCUCUGCAGCUGGUCCAAGAAGCUUCACUUCCCAGGAGCAGCAGACAGACGAUCUCCUGCUUACAGUGGUUCCAGGAGCACCAACCCCAAAGAUGAGUUAAAAGCAGGUCCCUAAAGAGAUUUUAGGAGAAGCUGCUAAAAUGGUGGCAAAGCUCUUUAGAAACAUAGAAGUAUAAACCUUUUUAUGGGGAGAACUCCGUUCUAAGAGUUAGGAGAGGACUUCCAGGUCCACACAACCACCCUGGAAAUGGCAAGGGGUUAUAAUUUCCAUUUUAUAGAUGAAGAAAUGAAAAAGAGGAGAGGGGGAUGCCAUUUGCUCAAGGCUGCUGGCACGCUAGGCUGGCUCUGGGACUAUCACAAAAAGUUCCAAACCCCCGGCCAUGACUCUUCUCACAACACAAGAAUGAGCUCAGAGAGGUUAACGAACCUGCCAAGGACCGCAGCUGAGAGACUGAGUUGGUUUGCAGAUUCCAAAGCCCACAUUCAUUCCAUUUUAUCUCAUCUUCAGUGGACUUUGAGCAUGCCUCAGCCUUCACCUUGGCCCUUGGUGAAGGUGCUGAGAACCCAGACCCAGUGCAGCGGUGUCUCUGGAGCCUCCUGGAGCUCAGCAGCCGACUCCCAAACCUGGAGGUCCUCACUCUGCAUCCUGUGCUCUGCCCUCUGGCUGAUCCUCAGCAUUCCCAGGCAGCCUGGCUCCCUGUAAAGUAGCUUAAACUUCUGUUUAUGAUCAUCUUCCAUCAUUUCUAAUUGUUUUCCUGGGUCCCUUUCUUUUGUAGAGGAUAUAAACUCAGCAUUUUAGCUUUUGAAACAGAUUUGCUGUGCAGUUUCAUGGCUCUUUAGUGGCUUAAAAUGUAUUGUUCUGUGAGUCUCUCUGUGCCCGUCACGGCAUUCACUGUGGGAAGCAGCAGGACGCCAGCGAUGCUGAUGUUUAUUUGAUUUUAGGGGGCUUUAAGGCAUUCCUGGGACCAUACGGAUUACAAAUAUUCUGCCUCAUUGUCUUCAGAAGCUGCUAAAAUAUCCUAGAAAUGAUCGUGUUUCAGCGUGUAAGCUACGUAUCUCACAUUGCCUCUUGUAUCCAUACAUAGCCUCUAUCAAGAGCCUGGCAUAAGCCAAUGUCAUGGUUCUGAAUGGGAACAACAUAGUUCUUCAAUCGCUAAAGCCCUUUCCUCUCUGAGAUUGGACAUUCAUUGCUGUUUUCUGCCAGGGCUCUGAUUUACAAGACUGUCUAUGAGUUCUGUGUUUAAUAUACGGUACCUGACUGGCUGCCUUCAAUGCAUGAGACUUCCUGGCAUUUUUUUCAUGUGAUUAGAUGGAUUACAUUUGUUACACAUUUAUUGUUUAGAUAUACAAGUAAUCCUCACUUUCCACAGGAUCACGUCUGCAUAUUGAAACCAUGUACUCACUUUGUACAAUCCUUGGUAACUGCAAAGUGAGAACACAGGUCGGAUAUGAACAAGUUUCAGUGAACAUGGUACUAUGCAUCAUGAAGACUAUCUGAAGUUGCUUUCAAAUAAAAUUUGGAUAAGAACUGUAA